rnacentral:rRNA from 1 species
AAGUUUAUCCACAGCAAUCCGUACCGCAAACCGACACAGGUGGGUGGGAUGAACAAUCCAAGGCGCUCGAGAGAACUCUGGCCAAGGAACUCGGCAAAAUAACCCCGUAACUUCGGAAGAAGGGGUGCUCUCUAGGGUGACAUGUUUAACAUAUGAAGCCCCGGGGAGCCGCAGUGAAUUGGUGGUGGCGACUGUUUACUAAAAACAUAGGUCUGUGCGAAGUCCUAAAGACGACGUAUACGGACUGACGCCUGCCCGGUGCUGGAAGGUUAAAAGGAGGGGUCAGCGCAAGCAAAGCUCCGAAUUGAAGCCCCAGUAAACGGCGGCCGUAACUAUAACGGUCCUAAGGUAGCGAAAUUCCUUGUCGGGUAAGUUCCGACCUGCACGAAUGGCGUAACGAUCUCCACACUGUCUCGGCCAGAGACUCGGUGAAAUUGCAGUCGCGGUGAAAAUUCCGUGUACCCGCAGAAAGACGGAAAGACCCUGUGCACCUUUACUAUAGCUUGACAUUGGAUUUUGGGCCUGCAUGUGUAGGAUAGGUGGGAGGCUGUGAACCCUGUACGCCAGUAUGGGGGGAGCCAUCCUUGAAAUACCACCCUUGCAUGUUUAAGAUCCUAACUUCUUCCGGUUAUCCCGGAGAAAGACAGUGUCUGGCGGGUAGUUUGACUGGGGCGGUCGCCUCCUAAAGUGUAACGGAGGCAUGCAAAGGUUCCCUCAGCCUGAUCGGAAACCAGGCGCUGAGUGCAAACGCAUAAGGGAGCUUGACUGUAAGAGAGACAUCUCGAACAGGAACGAAAGUUGGCGUUAGUGAUCCGGUGGUCCCGAAUGGAAGGGCCAUCGCUCAUUGGAUAAAAGGUACGCCGGGGAUAACAGGCUGAUCGCAUCCAAGAGUUCACAUCGACGAUGCGGUUUGGCACCUCGAUGUCGGCUCAUCACAUCCUGGGGCUGAAGCAGGUCCCAAGGGUACGGCUGUUCGCCGUUUAAAGUGGUACGCGAGCUGGGUUUAAAACGUCGUGAGACAGUUUGGUCCCUAUCUUCUGUGGGCGAAGGAGAAUUGAGAGGGCCUGUCCCUAGUACGAGAGGACCGGGAUGGACGCACCCCUGGUGAUCCUGUUGUCGCGCCAGCGGCAUAGCAGGGUAGCUAUGUGCGGAAGGGAUAACCGCUGAAAGCAUCUAAGCGGGAAGCCUGCCUCAAGAUAAGUUCUCCCCUCGAAAGAGCUGAAGGGCCCGGGUAGACUACCCGGUCGAUAGGCUGGAGGUGUAAGCGC